GGUAUGCCAAAGAAAUACUGGAGAGAGGCUAUCAGGCGGGACAUGGAACAGUUACAGCUCACAGAGAAAAUGAUCCUAGAUAGGAAGAUCUGGAGUACGCGGAGUAGGAUAGAAGGCUAGUGCCAUUUUAGGUCGCUGGGGUAGGUCAUUACUUGGUAGGGUAUUAUUCUUUUUAUAACACCUUGUUUCAUGCUUUAUUACGAGUUUGUUUACUGCUCUUUGAUUAUUAUUCCUUGUGGGUGGCAUAGGUAUGUACUGUCAUCUUGUUCCAUGCUUUAUUAAGGAUUUGUGUAUUAUUUCGUGUCUUGAGCCGGGGGUCUAUUGGAAACAGCCUUUCUACUUCUCCGGAGGUAGUGGUAUGGACUGCGUAGAUCUUACACCCCCC
rnacentral:lncRNA from 1 species